ACGGGAGAGGCCACAACAGUGAGAGGCCCGCAUACCGCAAAAAAAAAAAAAAAUCCAGGAUGUAACUGAAGUUUAGGCAUUGCAUCUGGUUGCCAUGCGUUUAGUCUCCUUUAAUCAAGAACACCCCUCCCCUGCCUUUAUUUUGGACCUCGGAUAUUGUCAGUUUUGAAAAAUCCAGAUCAGUUAUUCUGCAGAAUAUGCCUUGAUCUGGCUGCGGCCAGGUCCUCGUGGGUAGAGUCAGGGGGACAGUUGACAUCCUACACGGGUGUUGUGGGUCCUCUCUGAGCAACACGUCAGGUGAUGUCAGUGCAAGACCUGGUCACCUGGCCCAGAGGUGCCCACCAGGCUUCUUCGCUGGCCAGGGAGCGGCCUCCUUCGUAACUAAUAAGUAAUCUGUUGGAUGAUCCAUAGAGUUUGUGUGAUUAUCCUUUCUUCCGGAGACCCUUCACCCCGUGGCUUUAGCAUCUAAGCUGAUCCUUGCCCGAGUCAAUUGUUCCAGUGGUGGUUUUCCAAUAGAUCUACAUUUAUUUGUUGGUGACCCGUGACUGUAUAACCAAGUAAAGAUAAUUCAGGAAUUAUCUGAACCUGGGACUGUUACCUUAUUUGGAAAAAUGGUCUUUGCUGAUAUAAUUAAGUUAAGGGCCUUGAGAUGAGAUUAUUCAGGUGGGCCUGAAAUCCAAUGACCAGUGUCCUUGGCAGAGGGAGAUUUGAGACAGAGGAGAAGACACAGAGGAAGAGGUAGUGUGGCCACCAAGGGAGAAGAAUUUUGUCACCUCUGUAGUUCCUCACCUACUCGGCUCUUGUGUUUCCUAAAGCAGGGGCUGGCGACUACAGCUCAAGGGUCGGAUCCACCAUCACCUGUUUUUAUGGAGGCUGUGAACUGAAAGUGGUGUUUACAUUUUUAAAUGGUUGGAAAGAAUUAAAAGAAGAAUUCGUGACAUGUGCAAAUGACGCACACUUCCCAUUUCUGCGUCCAGACAAGGCUUUAUGGGAGGACAGCCACACGCACAUGUACUCGUUGUCUCUGGCUGCUUUCCUGCAACAUUGCAGACUCGACUCGUUGCAGGGAGCCCGUUUGGACAGCCAAGUCUAGAAUAUUCACUCUCUGGCUCUUUACAGGAAAAGUUUGCCCACCCCUGUCCUCCAGGAUGGACAGAAGUUGCUUGGAUAUUGAUAAGCCUCUCUGCUUCCUUACCCUCAGCUAUUCAUGUGCUCAUUUGACUCCACUUCACUCAAACAUUUAUUUAUUCAACAAAUAUUUAUUGAGCAUCUACUUCUUCCACCAAAUAGGUCAAGGGGCUCAGCCCUGACUGUCCCCCUAAGCUGGUGGAGGAGUGUCCAGAGCAUUGGGGACAAGGGGCCCCAGUGGCUGAACGGUCCCCUCAGCCCCACACCUCUCUGUCAAGGGGGGUGGUCGCUGUCGAUAGGAAGAAGGCUCGUGCAUCCAUGGAGUUGACCCUACACCUUGGGCAGGAUCGGCCCUGAAGCGGGUGGGCAGGCUCUGCUCCUGAGAUGAGGAUUUUCUAACCCUUCUCAGUUUGGGCUCACCUGUCACUGGACGAGGCUCAGAAGCCCUGCUCUCUGCCUGUGCCUCUCUGUCUCCAUCUGGGGUUGUAAAUACAUCUGAAGGAGCCACAGAGGCCCCUUUUUCCUCUUCCGCCACGGUUUCCACUUCCUGUCCCCUGUCCCAGCUGUUAAAACUACAUUAGCUAAGGAGGAGCUUGGAGGAACAAGAAAUUAUAGCAGUCAGCUAGGUGCCCAGGACAAACAUCCUCUGCUUUUACAGGCACCGCCGUUUUUAAUCUUUUCAUUAAAAUCUUUUCUUUAAAUGGUAGGUACUUUUAUUGUGCUCCUGUUUUCCAGGUGACAAAACUGAGGCUCAGAGAGGUGAAGGAAUUGGCCCAAGGGAACGUGACUGUGAAGCAGGGAGCCUGGAAUUUGAACACAUGUGGUUUGAUCUCGUGGGGACAGGCCGAGCAUGUGGGCAUAUCCUGUGACCUGAAAGCUGUGUGGAGAUUUGCUGUUCAUUGAAUGUACUUCGAGCAUCCCUGAGCACCAGCUCUGGAAGCCAGGUCCUCUGGAUUUGAAUACUGACCUUACCCUCGGUGCCUGACGUGCUUGGACCAGUUACCAUGCCUCCGAGUUACGAGGUUAAAUGCACUAAUGCGUGUGACGUGACGGCACAACCCCUCGGACCUGGUCAGCUCUCAGUCAAGAUGUUACAGUGUUUGCCUCCAGGAAAGAGCUCUCUAAAGGAGAUGGGAUCAUCAUUUCAGCCUUAUUUCUUCGAUCGUGACUCUUCUGUGCACAAGUUACCGUACUGCCCACACUGAUUUUAUGGCCAGCUGUAGACCUUUGAGAUUCCAAUUGACCGUGAGGCUCUGGAGCCGCCCACAGCAGCAGGGUGCCCUCAUUUUCCCAUCAGCCUCUCAAGGACAAAUGUAAACCCUCUAAGAACGCUUACCGAAGGGUGGCCCUCUGAAUGCCUGAAGUCGUUUUUAAUAUUCUCAGAACACUGUCUAGGAGCUGUGUCAGGUGGAUGGACAACAUUCAGAGUCUCCUAUGGGGUCAUGUACACAAAACCCAUGUAAAGGCACGGCUCCCAGUAACAAUACAGGCACCUUAAUCCUUGUAUCGACAACUGUUCUUUUGGGUUACACAGUUUUCAUCUCAGAGGAAUGGUCUCGACAUUAAACUGUCCAAACAGUAUUUAUAUCUGUGGCUGCCCUGCAAGAUCACUUAACCCCGCACAGCCGUUUAAAAGUAGUUAAUGACAGAAGCGGCCUGACUUGCCCCAAUGAAUGAUGGCCCAAGUUCGACCUGGGCUGUCACGGUUUUAUGGAGGAAGACGGUUUGUCCAUCGUCGGCUUCAAGCACAGCAGGUGAUUUGAAAUGAAAUGAGACGGUUUCUACAAGCAGAUUGAUGUGGGAAUCUUGCCUGCUCUUCCCUUUGACCCUUGACAAGUUGACACUGCAAAGAUUGUGACUUUAAAAAUGAUUGGGCGCAAAUGCAUUUAGGUAGAUGAUUUACUGGGCGCUGAAGCAGGGACGGUGCCUGUGGAGUGAUGCUGGGUGGGGAGGUAAUUGUUAACUUUAACAACUCAUGUUUUACGUUUCUGUAUCUUAUUAAUUGUCCUGCCAGGAGAAUCUGCUAGUGACCCUUGAUCAAGUCAUCUAUAUUCUUGGUAAGAGAUCAGGGACCCAACUGCCUGGUCAGACACCAGGUAACCAACAUCAAGAUGAAGAGACUCAGGACUUCCCUGGUGGCACAGUGGUUGGGAAUCUGUCUGCCAAUGCAGGGGACAUGGGUUCGAGCCCUGGUUCGGGAAGAUCCCACAUGCCAC